GGUCAAGGUCAACAACUUUGGUUUCAGUUGACAACCCCGUGUCCUGUGGUGAAGAUCGUGUCCGCUCCAUAUCUAGAUAACCGUUAUGAUUUUAUACUUCAUACUUAACAUGUUUAUUAACCAACACCAGAGGGUGUGUCAUGAUUUAUGUACAACUUCAUAGGUCAAAGGUCAAGGUCAAAAACUUUGGUUUCAGUUGACAACCCCGUGUCUUGUGGUGAAGAUCGUGUCCGCUCCAUAUCUAGAUAACCGUUAUGAUUACAAAGUUUAUACUUGACAUCCAUUUUAACCACCACCAGAGGGCGUGUCAUGAUGUAUGUACAACUUCCUAGGUCAAAGGUCAAGGUAAAAAAAAACUUUGGUUUCAGUUGACAACCCCGUGUCCUGUGGUGAAGAUCGUGUCCGCUCUAUAUCUUGAGAACCGUUAUGAUUUCAAAGUUUAUACUUGACAUCCAUUUUAACCAACACCAGAGGGUGUGUCAUGAUGUAUGUACAACUUCCUAGGUCAAAGUCAA
rnacentral:lncRNA from 1 species